rnacentral:lncRNA from 1 species
UAAAUUUUCUUUUUUUCUUUUAUUGAAAAUAUAUUUUAAUACAACAUUGACUAGUUAUGCCCCCCACCCAAAACACACAACUUUACUCCCAUCUGGAUUUACCCCCAUUCUGCCUCUCAUUAGAAAAAAAAAAAAACAGACUCUAAGGGAUAAUCAUAAAAUAAAAUAUAAUAAGCUUUAAAAAACAAAGAAAUCAGAAUAGGUCAAAACAGACAGAAGGGAAAGAGACCAAGAAAAGGCAAAAGAAACAAAGAUAGAUGCAGAGACACUAAUUCUUUUGUUGAGAACUCUUGAAAACAUUCUCUUCUUAAAGUAGUUACAGAACUCUGAUUAGAGAAAAAAAACAUUUUAUCUCUCACAGAGCUUCGACCAACUCCUUAAUGACUUUGUAACCGAGAACAGUAGCACUUUAUUCCUACAUAUUCAGUGAUGCUUUUGGAAUUGUGUGCAUGUGAAUAAAAUAACAUAUCACAUUGAAGGAUGAGGAUGACAUCAUGUCCAGGGGAAACAUACAUGGCUUCUCACGGUCAAACUUCUGGAAAGGCUCUGUAGAGAGCACCAAAGCACACGAAGCGUUCAGCGAGGCUUUCCUGGACGAGUGACCUGACGUUUCAAAUAAGUCAGAAGAAAUGAGAAAAACUUACAAAGAGUGCCUCAUAUGAUACCGUAUGUAUUAGCAGAUGAUUGGCACACGUCCUGACAUCACAUGCAUUCUUGUGGUGUGUCAUUUCUGUUAGGUGCUGAUAUGCCCAGCAUCUGACUUACAGAGUUAUUCUUUUUGAGCCCUCUAGCCAAACCCUAGACAAAUAAUACCCUUCUUAGUUUAUUUCAUUCCAAAGAUAGAACCAAACUAUUUAAAAGAAGAAAAGUGGUUCCUGUUGGUUUAUAAAUAUCUGGGUGGUGAGUGCUUGACGAAUAAUACAAUUUUAGUAUAAGAUGGUAUUCAUGUCUUCAGUUCUUUCAUAUGCUUGUGUGUCCAUCUUCUUGUCCACUUCCUAAAUUAAUCCCAGUUUCUGUAGCCAUGCAGUAACUGUGGUGUGUGUGUGUGUGUGUGUGUGUGUGUGUGAGAGAGAGAGAGAGAGAGAGAGAGAGGGGAGGGGGAAUGGGGGGUGUCUAUUGUUGGUCUGUAUGAUAUGUGUUUGUGUUCUUAAAGUUUAAUGUGUCAAUUGGUAAGAGUCUUUCAGUCAUUUUAAGAUAUUUCAUUUCUUUCAAAGGAUACCUGAAAGAGAAAUGCUAAUUUGAUUUUUCAUACAUGUUUUUGAAUUUUAUAAGUUUUGAAUUCUAAAUUAAUAAGGUAGUAUUAUUUAGGACUUUCACUGAGCCUUGAAACAUAAAACGUUCAGAAAGUGAGGAAUGGAACCAGACCAGGAAAUGACAGGUGAAUGUGUUCAAAUUGUGUGUUUGAGGUAAAGUACAUGUAUGAAAGUGCCACAAUGAAAUCUAUUCUUUUAUAUAGUUAAUAAAAGCUAAUUAAAUAGUGCUCUCAAUAGACUUAUAAAGGAAAAUCAUAAGUUUUCUUCUGUUCCAUUAUUGUGUGUGGUCAUGUAAAAUUUAUGUGAUGUAGAUUUAUUGGUCUAGGAUGCAUGUUGCAGUGGUAGAACACUUGCUUAAUCUGCACAGUGUCCUGAAUUCUAUCCCCAGCACACAUACACACACACAUACACACACACACACACACACACACACACACACACAUAUUCACAAACACUCUCCAUUGUGUUAUGAUCCUCCGUUGAUCAUUGAUUUUUAUAUUAUGAAAUAUGCAGUUUACUAUAUAUUGUUAAAUGAGAAGGUAGAGAAUCAGAUCUUAACAAAUUAUAUUUAAGAAAAAAGCUACUGUCCCCAAGAGAACAUCCCAUUUGCAUCCACUUUUAUAUUAUUUAACCUGGUGUUUUCUUCAUGACAAAUUAAAACAUGUAUUUAAAUUCAGAUAUUGAUUCUUCUUGAUUGGUAAGAUACUUAAUCAUAUUGUCUGGUUUCUUUUAUAUCUUGCUUAUGUGUGUUUAGUAAGCAAGCUAAAUGAAAUAUUUAAUUACCCUGGGAGCCUGACAUUAGUGACUACAAUUAUUUAAGCAACACAAGUUGCCGCUCUGGUUGUCAGACCUACAAACUACCAGGAUGUUUGGAACAUACAUGUAAAUGAUGCCUGGGAUGCUCUUGCAUUGCCUAUGUAAUUGGGAAUCAUGAAAAGAAGGGCAUUUGGGGGGUUGUCUCUCUGUCUGUCUGUCUAUUUCUGGCACCUGUUUAUUUUAGAAUUUGGAACCUAUUCAAGUCUUUUCAGAAAUGCUGACCCAAAUUAGUCAUUUUCAUUUCAUGAUCAGUGGGAUGUAUUUUGCCUGCUCUUGCUUGAAUGAAAAAGCCAUGACUGUUACUAUCAGGUAUAGGUUCCUACCCUAACGUUGGAUACUUAAUGGCUCAUGGUACAGUCUUUUGCUGAGACUCAUUGUUAGUCAGGAAACCCAUGAGAACUGUAACCUGAAGUACUGUAGUGAGUUGAAAAAGUAGAGUACCAUAGCCAUUAAACCUUCAGACCUCUAAAAGCAUACCCUGUGUUGUCCUCUGAGAGACUUCCCCCCCCAGCUGACUCAGAGAGAUGCAGAUGCAGACACCCACAGCCAAACAGUGGAUGGAGCUUGGGGUUUCUUAUAAAGGAAUAGGAAGAAGGAUUGCAAGUGGAUAGGAACUUGACAGGAAGACCAACAGAUUCAGGUAACCUGGACCCUUAGAGCUCUCAGAGUAUGACCAACAACAUACACAGGCUGGACCUACCACACCCACACACACAUAUGUAGGAGAUGUGCAGCUAGGUCUUCAUGUGGGUCCUGAAGAACUGGAGCGGGGGCUAUUCCAAAAGCUGUUGCCUAUGUGUGGGAUAUGUUCUAGCUGGGCUGCCUUAUCUGGCCUCAGUGGGAGAGGAAGCACCCAGCCCUGCAGAGACUUGAUGUGCUAGGGUAUGGGGAUACCCAGGGGGCCCCACCCGGUCAGACUUGUAUAGCAGACUGGGGGAGGGAUCAGUCAGUGAGUUAUAAGUGAAUAAUUAAAAAAG